GGUUGCUGAGUUACCGUGGUAAUCACUACCCAUAAUCCCAUGCGCUAGGAUGACGAUGACUCGGAAAUACCUCCCCGCCCACUUCCGGUACAAAUUCCUCCGUCCAAGGUGUGAUGGAAAAGGUCCCUUAGCCCACUUGAUUCUAGCAUCUACAUCCAGGCCAGGGUGUGAGCCUUAUCCUCCAGGAAUACACAGUGGUGAAGAAGACGCCCAGCUAUCCCCACGUGUCAGGAGGACAUAGGAGGACCCAGAGCCCCAUCCCGGUGCCUCCACCUCACUCACUGAUACAUGAGGGAGACAAUGACCAGAAGAUCCUGGAACUCACCAACAAGAUCAUUCAGCUGCUGACUGGAGAGGAGGGGGAGUAUAUAGAGGAACACAGGGGUCUGUACAAGGACGUGAUGAUGGAGAAUCACCGGCCCCUCACAUCACUGGAUGGGCCCAGUAACAGAGAUACCCCAGAGAGAUGUCCCUGUCCUCUGUAUUCCCAGGAUUGUACAGAGGAGAAUCACAGGAUCCCACAGGAGGAUC